AGAGUUUGAUCGAUGGCUCAGGACGAACGCUGGCGGUGUGCUUCACACAUGCAAGUCGAACGAGGUAGCAAUACCUAGUGGCGGACGGGUGAGUAACGCGUGGGAAUCUGCCUUUAGAUGGGGGAUAACGGGUCGAAAGACUCGCUAAUACCGCAUAUGACGAAAGUUGAAAGGAGUAAUCCGUCUAAAGAUGAGCCCGCGUCCGAUUAGCUAGUUGGUAGAGUAAAAAGCCUACCAAGGCGACGAUCGGUAGCUGGUCUGAGAGGAUGAUCAGCCACAAUGGACUGAGACACGGCCCAUACUCCUACGGGAGGCAGCAGUGGGAAUUUUACGCAAUGGGCGAAAGCCUGACGUAGCGACACCGCGUGAGCGAAGAAGCCCCUUGGGGUGUAAAGCUCUGUCAGCUGGAACGAAAAAAUGACGGUACCAGCAGAGGAAGCAUCGGCUAACUACGUG
rnacentral:rRNA from 1 species